rnacentral:rRNA from 1 species
UACGGAGGGAGCUAGCGUUGUUCGGAAUUACUGGGCGUAAAGCGCACGUAGGCGGCUUUGUAAGUUAGAGGUGAAAGCCCGGGGCUCAACCCCGGAAUUGCCUUUAAGACUGCAUCGCUUGAAUCCGGGAGAGGGAAGUGGAAUUCCCGGUGUAGUGGUGAAAUGCGUAGAUAUCGGGAGGAACACCAGUGGCGAAGGCGACUUCCUGGCCUGUUCUUGACGCUGAGGCGCGAAAGCUAGGGGAGCAAACGGG